UCUUAUUUUACAAGUCGGCCCCCCUUUUUUGAGAUUUUAUUUAUUUUUUAACCUCCUUUUUGCCAAGUCGGCCUAGGGGAAGUAAGGGGUGAGCACUCUAUAUAUUGGAGGAGUGUUGCUUCACAUUUCAAAUCACUCAAUCAUUCCUUUAAGUGCAAAAUUGGGGAGCUAAUUGGAGGUGCGAAAUAUAGCUGGCUUGGAGCGAAUUUCUUCCAAGUGUUGAAGGCCAAAAGAGGGUGGAGUUUAUUCUUUUGAAGCUAGAGGAGGCGCAAUUCAUCCAAGAGAGGGCUUUGAUCUAAACUUUGCCUAGCGAAAUCCAUUUUUGCAUCAUUUCUUAGAGUUUAGUACUCAAGAGGAGGUAUGGCGAAAUUAUCUUAACACUCUUGUUCAAGACUUGAUUUUUGGACGCUUUUUUUAGAAAAGUCUAAGUGUUGAUUAGUUAAUUAGGAAAUGAUAACUCUAGAUUUAUCAUGAAGUUUCCUAAUUAAUAUCUUAAAACUUCCUUUUGAGUCGUAAUUUCUACACUUCAUGAUAUAAUGCUUAAGAACUAAUUUCGAAAUGUUGUGUAGGUAUCAAGAUGGCAACUCCAAAGGCAGGAGCAUCUACUAGUCGCCUAGCUCUCAUCAAGGAAGAUCAGAAGAAUGACAAAUUGGAGACCAGGAUCGUGUCCAAAUGGAGUAAUAUCGGAGACACCAACUUGGGAAACUACAAUGUGAAGAAGUUUUGAGAGGUCCCCUACAUUGGCAAGCCAUCACCUAUUGUGAAGAAGAUAAUUGAAAGCGGCAUCAUCAAGGCGGCAGGUUUCCCUCCAGUAGUCAAGUGUCAUGAGCUGAUGAUCGAGUGUGCCCGCCACUAUGACUCACAAUCAAGGUCGAUCGUAUCCAAGGAAGGGAACACCUUAGCUUACCUUUCAGAGGAAGCUAUAAGUGAAGCUCUUCAUCUUCCAGAGCAUAAAGAUAUGAUUUACAAGAGCCUAGAAGGAGCCAGAUCAAUGUAUGAAGAUGAUCCUGACACUUGCUUGAAUCUCAUCAAUAAGAAUUGGUUGCUCAAAAGUCGGCCUCACCUGAACAAGAUUCCCAACACACCGCAUAGGAUCGACUUCCAGGAGGAGUACAGAGAUUUGAUAACUUUUCUCAAUCGAGUUAUAGGGGCUCCUCAAGCCUUCUACUUCGAAAAGUGGAUGUUCUUCUUCAUCCAAGUGAUAGUCCAAGGAAAAGGAACGCUUCAUUGGGCCAGAAUUAUUAGCAAUAGUCUGGAUGUGCAGUUGAGAAGGCUAAGACCUACCAAAUCAUUCCAUAUGAGCUCAUAUGUUAUAUAUGCCUUGAUCAGGAGUUUCGAGUAUGCAGGGCUACCUCAUAGAGGAGUGAUCGGAAGAGGACUCGGAGAGGUGAGAGUUUGUGACUCUUAUGUUCAUCUGCAUCAUCCGCCUAGAAGUGACUACAAGUUAGUUAAUGAUACCUUCACGAUGAACAUCACUAGGAUAUUGCAAGGCGGGAUUCAUAAUCGAGUAUCUCUGGAUGCACAAGAACUUGUGAAGAAGUAUGGUGCGUGGUUCAUCCAGUUUCAAAAGUUUACAUAUAUCAGAGUUCAUGGGUGUCCUUCACCUCCAUACAUGUUGCCGAGGUAUCCGACAGACAUGAUAGUGCUACUUGAGGUAACUAGACAGUUGGCAGCUUAUGCGAAGGCAUCCAGACACAAGCAUGGAAAUGGAGUUCCCGUGCCCAUCAUAUUGGGGAAUUUAGUUGAGGUAUGUCCUAACACUCAAGCCUCGGAAGAUGCAGAGAAAGAAUUAUCUUUAUAUUCAUUCACAUCCUUUGCCUUGCGGGAGAAUUUUGAUCCUCAUGGUUAUAUGGAGGAGACAGUUGGUAAGAAGUACAGACAUGAGUUUCAGGUAGAGGACUUUUGGAUGAAUCUCUCAAGUGAUUUAGAAGUUAAAAGAAAGAUGCAUUCCAGGCUACCUUUAGAUUUCAUCAGGAAAUGCAAAGUUCAUAGAGUAGCUGAUCAAGCCCAAGAUAAUGGCAGAUACCUCCAGUCGUCCUAUGACAAAGAAGAUAAAAGAGUGAAGAUAGAUUGGGAUGAGCCCGAGGUUUUAGACUUGAGAGCUUUGAUGGCCCCUAUUUUAUCAUGUACUUGCAGAUGGGUGGAUGUACAACAUUAGAAGUUGAGAGAGCAAAACGUGUCAAUGACUUUCACUUUGGAGGCAAGACCAGAAGAAGAAGAAGCAAGCGUGAGUGAGGACACUUCUCAUCCUAGAGGCGCAAAGAGGAAAGAAAGACCUGAGAAAAUAGAAUCUUCCAAGAAGAAGCAAGAGGCCAAUCGAGAUCGCACAUCAAGCACAUCUUCUCGACAUGAAAAGAAGCCAAGUCAAUCUGAAGGUCAAGAGAAGAUGGUACCUGAGGUUGAUGAAUCUAUGGAAUCCAUGGUGCAAAAUGAUAAGCCAGAGAAGGGACAGACACCUCAACAUUCAUCAAGUCAAUCUCCCCAAAUUUAUGAGCUACAGGAAGAUCAGAGAAAUGAUGAUGAAGUGACAUCUCCUCUCCGAGAAGAUGAACCACUGCCUACAGAAAUACAAGUUAGAGAAAUAAGAUCCACCAUCCAGGAUUGGUUAAAAGAGAGACUGACAAGGGUGAUUGUGGUUGAAGAGGAAGAAGAUGUAUUUGAUUUAGAAAGCCUUAUAGGAAAUUCUCAAUAGGUAAUGGAAAAGAAGAAGGCCACGAAGAUGUCCAAGGUAAUAAGGGAUGAAACAGGAUCCAGGAAAGUGCAAAUAGCUAUGCCAGUAGUGGACAAGUAUGAAGGUGAGAUCCUUGCAGAUGAGUAUGAAUUAGAAACAUUUGAGCUUGGUCCACUCACUACUGAACAAGCAAUGGAAGAAGCAACCGAUUCAUUCGAAGCACUUAAAGACAAACUUAAGGAAGAAAUGGAGAAGAAUAAGAAACUUGAGAGAGAGGUCGGUGCUUGGAGAGGCUAUUUUAGUCAUCUCAAUCAGCCCUUGAGACGUCAGGAUCUAGCAGUAUCUCCUUUCCAAGCACUUCCUCUUGAAUCAGUUGGCGAAGUGGAAGGGGUCAGAAGCUUGGUUCAGCUUAUGAGCUCUUGGAUUGAUAAAUCCCACAUGGUAGCUGUUGAAUUUGCAACAAGAAUGAUGAAGACAAUUCAUUGGGCUAUCCAGGUCCUUGAGAUUAUUCAUAAUCUAAUGAUAACUGUAGCCGCUUUUGCUCACACUAGAGAUGUUAUCAUUCCUGUCUUACAAGUAAUAAGACAAACACCAAGAUGGAUCCUGGCACACGAAAAGAUAAUGGAUGGAGGAACUCAUAACCUACUACAGUGGUUAGCUCUACUCCAGAUGAAAGAGGUUCUUUUUAAAGACAUCAACACCAAAUGCAGUCAAGUUGAAGGUAUCAUCCAUCCAAUUCAGGAUAAGGUGUUUGAAGUAUUGUGUACCAUUCUUGGUAGGCAGAUUGAGAUUGAGACAGAUGUAGACAUCCAAGAGUUGGAAGAAAGAGUCAAGGUCAUCUUUUGCAAAGAGGAGAAUGUCAUCACAGAUGAGCAACGAGACCUGAUGUUCACUACCAUGCUCUUGAUUGAGAAGAUCAAAGAACUUGAACCUGGAUGGGAAACAACUCUUCUCACUGCUUUUGAUCAGGUCAUUCACUUGGAGGAACGAAUGAAGAAUCUUCCUGAGAUUCCUAUUGCUGAGAUUGAAGGAAUUGUGUCCAAAUUCGUUGGAUAUGCUAAGAAAGAGCAUAGGAAAGGGAACAAGCUUCUAGAUGAAAAGUUGUUAUAGGAUGAUGUGGCAGCUCAAUUCCUAUUGGUCUAUGUUUCCUCGAUAUUUGUGCCAAUUAAAUAUUUGGCUAUGCAUUUAAUAAUGUUUAUCUAAAUGGGGAUCAUUUUUGUAACAAACCCUAAUUAGGGUUUAGGUGUCAGAAUCUCAGCCAUUGAUCUUCUUUCGAUCUGGGCCAUUCAUUGUAUUUGAGGAUGCUAUAUAUACCCUCACUCAUUUUCAUUUUAUUAUUAGAUAUUAGAAGAAGAUUAGAAAUUAGAGAUUAGAAAUUAGAAGAGCUUAGAGAGAAGAAAGUUAUUGUAUAGCAAGAUUGAGUAGUGAAGAGAGAAUUUUGAACAAUUGUUGUCCAUUUGGCUUUGAGAUCAAUAAAAUAUUGAAGUUAUGGUGUUUUAUUGUAAUACUUGUGGCUAUCUUCAUGGUUGUUUAUCUUCUUGAAUCAUUCUCAGUCGAAAUAGUAUUUAAGUUUGAAGGACGAAGUGUUGUGCUUGAUCUUUGGUGAGAUUCAUAUCCAAACCACUAGCUUCUUACUGAUUGUAAGUACGCCUUGUGUGGUCAACUGGAGACAUUGAGAUUGCUUAAACAUUCAAUCAUUGUUGAAAUAUUGAUAUGUAUCUUUAUGAUAGUAUCUAUAAUCUUCGAUGAUUUGAAAAUCACUAAUCACAUUAGAAGAUCGCAUCAAUUCAGUAGAGUUGUAAUUCCUUGGCAAUACUGAAAUUGGUAGAAUCUUACCAAGUCCAGCUUACAUUGAGUCAUUCUUGGGAUUAGAUUAGAAUUCAUCUCUUGAAACCCCUAUCUUUUGAUCUUUUUUGAGAAUAUGUUAGUAUUAGGAAAAUCCUGUUCUUGCAGUCAAACGACAACAACACGGACCAGCUUUCUUAGAAAGUGCGUAAGACCCCUUGAAGAAACAACAUUUACAAUGACCACUGGUGCUUAUCCACAUGUAGAGAUCCUACAACGAAGAACCUUGAAGUCACCCUAAUUGAUCCUUUUCGCGAUAUCUUCAGCAUUUAGAGGUUUUAUUCAAGAGAGGAUAAGGUACCUUUAGGUAUUAUAUUCUGUGUUUGAUAGUGUACAAAAUACACGUCAACACUACCUACAUAUCCUUUUGAGGGAAGUCAGAGGCUUCGUAGUUCGUCCUUAAAGUUCAAAGGAAGUUCAUUCUCUCCUCUCAUAUGAGAUCUUUGAUCUUUCUUUAAACCAGGUCUAUUUAUUAAAUUAGCCCCAGAAUAAUACAAGAAUAUCUAAUUGCCUUCAAGUAUUGUACAUACAUACACAAUUACUCAAUGUUUUUACCCUUUCAUAAUUCCCCAAUUCCUUACAAUGACUUAAGUGCACAUUGCAAGAUGACUGACCCAUAAAUAUCCCAUAUACAUAGUAACUAACUCUAGCUUACGUCACCUAUACAUAGUGACUAGCUUCAACAUUUGUCACACAUACUUAGUUACUAGGUCCAUUUGCGUUAUAUACAUAGUGAAUAACAUUUACACAAUGAGAGACUGACACAUCUACAAUGGCUAACUAUCACUUACCCAUAGUGCAUCCUAGUUAUAAGAAAUAUUGAUGCACUGUGCACUACACUGCAUAUCAUAAUCCUUUCCCUUUUAUUCUACACCAAUACACAAGUGGGAACAGGAUUCGAUGUAUCCAAUGCUACACUAAGUGUUCGUCCUCAUCCUAACAAGGUCAUGUAUACUAAUUUUGCAUCCACAUAUGCCGAAAACUAUACUAUAAGGUUGGUCCAAUAAUUACCUACAUAUUCUUCAUUUGAAAUUCUCUUCCCUGUAGUCCAUUGGACGACUAAGCAACAUAGACAUCCAUCACAUAAACCUCAUUAUUCAUCUUAAAAAAUUUACCUUAGUUCACAUAAACCUACAAGAAAACAAAACCAAUCAAAGUUCACCUAAUACGUUUAGUAUGGAGGUUCUUCUACCCAAGGGGUGAAUUUAUAUGUCUAGUAUUUCAAUAUCACAAGUAUUUGAAACCUUGUAGGACUUACAACAUAGGUGUAUCUUUUUCUAAGCUAUGAUUCCUACACAAACAUAUGUUGUCAUCCAACACAGCCAUAUUAGCCUUCCUUGGUUCCGAUGAUAGUUCCUGCAUCAAGUUUAUUGUACUUAAGAGAUCAAUAUUUAUUGUCUAGUCAUAAUAUCAAUAUGAUACAAGAAUAUUGCAAAAGCCUCGUUAAAACUUCAAUUGGUAUCCUUCUUCAAUAUUAUAUCAAGCAUCAUAAAAAUAUAGGACAUCAUCCUAUUAAAGCCACAUUAAUUUCUUCUUUAUCCCGAAAGACAUGUCCAAUGUUUACAAACUUUCAUCAAGCAUGAUUAAUGUUUGUGUCACACUCAAGGUAAUUGGAACACUAUGCUUCAUGUAUUCUCAUAUAAGAUAUUCACUCCCUAAUAUUAGGACUAAUAUUAAUUCUUAAUGUUCUAGUUUGAUUUUUUUGAUUGUGUAACCCAUUAUUCCUAUAAUAGCUUGGUUCUUUGACUAGCUGAUUUUGCACAACACUUAUAUUUAAAUGCUAGUAACUAUAGAUACCAACAUGGUAGGAUACCCACCAUAUCAUAAUUUUUUUUUUGAUAUAAUUACCAAAUGUAGAGAGCUGAGGUUUAAAACACAACCAUUAAUCUUAUACUUUAAUUUAUUAAACAGAACUUCAGAUCAUAUACUAUUGUCAUGGUAUUUAAAACUAUCGUGUUCAAGAUAAGUAUGUCAUGUAUACCGUAGUAUGUUAUCCAACUAUAUAGAAGAAUACAUGAAGAAUGAUAAACUUUCGUUUUAGUCUAAUUAUUGCUAAUGCCAUGCUCAAGAUAGAUGUAGACACUAUAUUUGUUAUGUCUUAAUAUAUAGAUAUACCCAUGAUAAUAAUAAUAUCCUAUACUUAUGAUUUUAAUUACUAAUAGUGCAAAUCAAUAAUCAUCAUAUCUCAUGAUUAGGUUCUACUAGAUAAGGUUUAUGAACAAUAGUUGUAGUAUUUAAUAAUCAACACUACGUUUAAUUUUUCAUGCAUCAUAGUGUUACUUAUUAAAGGACACAUUGAUAUCGACCUUACUAUUAGGAUUAAAGUGCCAUCUACCUUGUAAAUCCUAUGACAUUGUUCGAACAUCCUUGGAAAGUGUCCUAAGGCACUUAGGAUGUAUUGGGAAAAUGAUUUGUUAUAUUUUUUUCUCACCAUUGUUUGUAAUACAUUCACAAGGGGUGAUGGGUUACACUAGUAGCAAUAAUAGUGGGUUUUGAACACAAAUAUUUAAUAUUGUUUUCCACACUUAUGGAUGUCUAGAAUAAUAUAUUUAAUGAUUUAAGAAAGUGGUAAAAGAGUGACCUACGGGCUUCUCCUAGUGGGAGUAUGGUAUAGUUUUCCAUGUUGUAUUUAAGGUAUUGGAAGCUAAACCGAUGUCUUUUCAAUUUUUUUAGAGACCUUUCAAGGGUUGUUGUCAUGAGUAAUGAAUAGUAUUGUUUGGGAACCUUUAUUGGUGGUUUUGGUGCUCUUUCCAUUUUAUAAAUUCAGCCUUUGGGUGUAGAUUGCAUGUCCAAGAGAAUGGGGAACAAUUGAAUGUAGUUUUUUUUGUAGGAAUGAUGGGUGGGAGGCAUAAGGAGGUUGUUCACAUGUACAUAGGUGCUUCUAUGGUAUAGGAAAAGAGAAGAAUAGAAGUGAUUGUAUCAUAAGCACUUUUAUUGAUGUUAAUACAAGCUUGUCCUCUCUUCUUGGUGGAUUUUUUUCUUGCAAGGAUUUCUCCACCUAAAUCUUGUGUUAUAUGUGGACGUUAUUGUUGGUGUAAUUAUUUUAUUUUAUUUAUCUCCUAGGAUAUAAUUAUACUUUACUUAAUCUUACUUAGGAAAUUGCAUACGAGUAGUUGGAGAAUUUUCACUUUCGGUGGACUUAUCCUUUCCUAUGAUGCAUAGUUAUUUGUGUCUAGUGGUUGAGUUCUAACUGACUCCUUCCUACCCUUCCUUUCAUUGAGCCACAUGUCAUUAGUGGUUGAGUUUUAACUAACUGCUACCUAACUUGGCAUUUCAUUAAGCCACAUGUCAUUUUUGUGUGCACUCAUUUCAUUUUGCCUUGCUUAUAUAAGUAGGCUUAUGUACAAUGUUUAUUCAUCCAUCUAUUUACAUCUUGAUGCGAAUAUAGUUUGUUCUUGUCUCUAUUCUUCUCUCUUGUUAUUUUUCUACUUAAUCAGCCUCUAUAUCUUGUAUUGCUAUAGUCAAUUAUUACAUGGUUUCAGAGCCUAUAGGAUGCUAUUGAUAGUCAUCUUUGGAGAGAUUUUGGUGCAUUUGAAUAUCGAUAUAUUAAUAGAUUUGGCAUGCAGUGCAUUUAAGGAGCAUCCUACACAAAAUAUGAGCCUAACAUCGCGUCCAAGAGGUUGUUUUCAUGAAUUUUGAGUAUAAAUUAGCCUAUAUUGGGUGAUAGUUGAUCCUAUGGCAUCAAGAAUUUUUUUCCUUUAUUGGUCAUAUGAACGUCAUAAUUACAGGUAGUUGACUGUCAUGUUAUUAGAGUGCCACAUCAUCAGACUACCACAUCAUAAAAAUUCCUUGUCAUCAAACUGCCACGUCAUCAGGUUGACUACCAUGUCAUCAAACUACUGGAUCAUCAAGUUGGCUGCCGCAUCAUCAUUUUGCACAAUUAGCAUGGUACGUGCUAUAAGUUUGUUCAAUUGGAAAACAAUGUGGUAAAAUAUAUUUGGACCUCAACUCCUUUAUGGUGCUACUUAUUUGUUAUACAAUAUAAUAGUACGCUAUAGUAUAUAAACAACAGGAGUAUACCGUACACAAUGCAUGUUAGAUAAUUGGUUUCGCUCCCCCCUUCAUGGUUGGUAGGUUCUAUUUUAAAGCUGAUUUUCAAACACUCAUAUAUUGAGCAUAUGAUCUCCUUUUUGAAUGCAGUUUUUUUUAUUUGGGGUAGAUUUUUGUGUUCUUCAUAGUGGUGUAGGUGGUUUUUCAUUUUGGUGUACAAAUUUCUCAGAAAAUGCAUGUUUUCACAGCUAUAUCUGAGCAAUCCCCCUUUUUUUGUUCAAGCUAAUAUAAACUCUUUUUUAGGUGCCAUUUUUUUUAAAGUGCAUUAUUUUUCAACUACUUUUCUGUGGUGCUAUAAUUUUUUCAUCAUUGAGAGUAGAAAUAUCACUUUCAGAACUUGGUCUUUCUUGGCCUAUUCUGACAUAUGUCAUGCUUAGAUCUCAAUAAGGUCUUUUGCAUCAGUAAUAUAUGUUUUUAUAGCCUAUUUGUGGUAGUUAUAAUCAUUGAAAUCAAAAGCCCACUUUUCAUUCGACCAUUUUACACGCACUAAGUAUAAAGUGCCCAAUAAACCUUUUAGGGGGUGUUCUUUGAUUGAGUGAAUUUGGGGGGUGUCUUGUGUGAUUGUGCUUCUAUCUAUCUCUUAUUCUCCUUCAUUUCCAGUUAUGGGUUCUCCUAAGUUUCCACUUCAGAUUCCACAUGACUAUACUUCUUGGAAAAUUAAAGCUUGGAGUAAGUUAAUAGAAAAAGGAGUAACUAUUAUAUUGAUGGAACUAUUGAAGAACCACCGAGUACGAAAGCUGAUCCAAAUGCUCAAUUGGAAUGGCUUAGUAAAAAUAAUUCCAAUCAUUACAUCACUUAAUAUUCUACAACAUCUAUCCCUAAAAUAUUUGCAUUAAUAUAUUUUUAAUAUCAAAAGAAAAAAUAGAAUCCUCAUGGCUAGAUUAUAGCUUCCAUGAAGAUACUGACUCCUAAACACAAUCUUAUUGGCUUCACCACUUAUCCACAAUCAUAAAAUCUCAGAAGCUCCUAUAGAUAACAACUAUCCUACUUCCUCACAAAACUUGAGCAAUCCUCAUUCUCUCACAAAUGAAGAAUGAAAUACGUCAAGUGAAUAAUGAACGAAUGAUAAAAUGAGAAAAUAUGCAAAAUAAAAGGUGCUCCAACAAGAAAGCUCCUCUCUUUAUACAUGAAUUUGAGAGAUUUAAUGCAAUAAUUAAGUCCUCAAAUUCACCACCACUCUUUCUUCCAAUGCCACCAUUAAUACUAUGUGGCUCCCAAUCAACUACAAAGUUGGCACAUCUAAGUCCAACUUAAUUCUACUAUGAAUUACUCAUAAUUUACUAAGUCAAAUUAUGCUUACCCAUAAUUUACUAUUACUUAAGCAAGUUGAUUACUAACUCUUACUAACACAUGUUUAUUGACUAAAUCCACCUUUAUAUUAGGUGUAACUCUAACUUUAUUAAUAAUGUGUACUUCCUUAUGAAUAAGGGUGCUUUCCCUAUUAACUAGGUCAAUGCCAAGUAGACCACUUCACGUUCCCAUCCUCCCUUUUAAAUGGGGUUGAUGGACACUUAGUGCUUACUAUAUAAAGCGCUCACCUUAUGCGUUUUUCCUACAUACGUGUAAAAGGUGUCAGCUUUAUUCACCAUCCCCCCCCUCCUUUGGAGUAGGGUAUGCCACCUUUCAUGGUGUGUGCCUCCCUCCCCAACCUUCCUUCCUCCUACCACUACAUGGUAACUAUCGUGGCAACAUAAAUCACUAUGGUUUUUGACCGAUCCACAGGUGGUAUACAUGGAGUUAAUAAAAUGCAGUCUGAUUCAUAUAUAUAUAUGUAGCAUCAUAAAAUUGCGACCCUGGAAUUUUUGACUGCAUUUGGGUCUUUGCAUUGGCGGACGAAUCCCUAAAUCUGACUAGAGACCCGAGACAUGCUUAUACCAUCAAAAACUUGCAUUUUCUUGCACCUCGCACUGCCUAUCCCCACUGCCUGUCCUAAAUUAGGGCUGGACCCCCUAGGAUAGGGGCAUGGUGCCUUUGUCCCUGCCCUAUUUUGGGCCCCUGCUUAGUCCUAUCUUGCAUUGGGCUUGUCAAUUGCGAGUGGGAAAAUGUUUUCCUAUGUCGGCCUAAGACAAAAAAUCAAUUAAAAACCCUAAUUGGUAAGUAUAUAAGAAGUGUUUUCCCCUCCUAUUAGCACAUACAUAUAGGUACAAUAAGUUCGAUAAGUGAAAGCAAGUUGAAUCAAGUGCAAUCAAGCGAAAUCAAGUGCAAGCAUUCAAGCAUCCAUUCAAGAGUUGAGCAUCUCAAGUCUCCUUUCAAGGUUAGGUGUUGCAUUCAAGUCAAGGAUUCAAUCAUUGAAGAGGAGAUCCCCACCCACAUUCAAGAUAUUCAAUUCCACAUAUCCUUUCAAACAACUCUAUCUACAUUUCAAUUGCAUCCUCUCUCGAGGGUAAUUCUAUUUUAGACAUUUUCUUUCACUUACUAGCAAGUAUUUUUCAUUAUUUGGUUAAUUCCAAAAUGGGGUUUGACCUAAAGGCAAACCCCCAAUCCCAACAAUAUUUCCUCUCUUUUCUGUGUGUAGGUUGCAGGUGCGCAGUUGUAAUUGCAGAUUUAGGCUUCAUUUUCAGAGACGGAAAAACCCUUUUUCGGCGCGUGGAUUCUUUGGAGGACCAAGUACACUUUCAACUCGGUCCCAAUAACUUUCACUCAAAUUUGCAAGGGAGCUUCAUCUCGACAUUUUACUGCUAAUUCCAGGCAAAAUCACUUACGCUGGAAAACGGUAACCUGUUUAAAAUGGUUGAGGAGGGAAGGUGCAGGGCCUGCCACCUUAACAUUGACAUUAUGGAAGGAGUGGACAAUAAUUGGGAAACGGAUGCUGC